UUUUUGUAUCCAAAUCCGGCUUUAAACUUCUUCACAACAGUAUCUCGGACCUGCCUGGUGUGUUCCUUGUUCUUCAUGAUGCUCUCUGCGCUUUUAACGGACCUCUGAGACUAUCACAGUGCAGGUUCAUUUAUACGGAGACUUGAUUACACACAGGUGGAUUGUAUUUAUCAUCAUUAGUCAUUUAGGUCAACAUUGGAUCAUUCAGAGAUCCUCACUGAAAGGGGCUGAAUAAUUUUGCACGCCCAAUUUUUCAGUUUUUGAUUUGUUAAAAAAGUUUGAAAUAUCCAAUAAAUGUCGUUCCACUUCAUGAUUGUGUCCCACUUGUUGUUGAAUCUUCACAAAAAAAUACAGUUUUAUAUCUUUAUGUUUGAAGCCUGAAAUGUGGCAAAAGGUCGCAAAGUUCAAGGGGGCCGAAUACUUUCGCAAGGCACUGUAUAGUCCUCUAUCCAUCAUUUUGGGGAAUUCACGGUACUCCCUGAGUGUUUAGUUUUAAUUUAGCUGAUAUUUGGCAAGCUGGACAUAAUCAACAAACUGGAAGGGCCUUUAUCAUUUCUACACAGUUUCAAAUGGUUUUAGUAAUUUUAAAGUGUAUUGAGUUCAUCCCCGCCCCAAUUUACUUCAUGGAACACAGUAUCAGUAAGCCUUGAGUUUUCAACCAGGCCCAGAGAGCACAGUGACACCCAGUGGUUUAGCACUGAGAUAAAAGCAAAGUCUUAAAGAGAAACUGACCAAACCCACGGCAGUAGAUCAGUAGUCACUAAACCUGAACCUGGAGAGCCGAUUCAACUGAACAAGGGCUUGAGUCCAAUCGCAUCAACAUCUGCAGCAGCAUCGACAUGAAACUCAGCACCAGGAACUAGUCUUCAGUAAUACAGAUCAUGUAAACCUACCGAAUGAAAGCUUUCAGCCGGGAACAAGCUCAAGCUCAACAUCUGACUCGGAAGAGACUGCACAGGGCUGGCAAAAGCCAAAGUGUAUAGUCUAUGAGUCCAAGGUCAUGGAGCUCAUGAAGUUCUGCCAGACCAGCUGCCAUUGCCCAACACAAGACGAGGUUCACCAGCUGAAGAACAUUCAGGACCCUGCCUGGAACAUUCAGAAAACACAAGAUCCAAAUUAGGUUAUGAUGUUGUAGUAUAAUAUAGAAUGCCUAGUAUGCUCACAACUGCAUUGUGGUCUAGAUCUUGCUAGCUGUUGUACAUACAGCGAGAAUACAAAACAUUAAGAAGAUCUGCUCUUUCCAUAACAUAGACUGAUCAGGUAAAUUCACUUCAAUCAGUGUAGAUGAAGGGGAGGUUCACAGGUCAAAGGUUAAAGAUGGAUUGUUAAGCCUUGAGACAAUUGAGAGAUGGAUUGUGUAUGUGUGCCAUUCAGAGGCUGAAUGGGAAAGACAAAAUAUUUAAGUGCCUUUGAACGGGGUAUGGUAGUAGGUGCCAGGCACAUCGGUUUGUGUCAAGAACUACAAUGAGUCAACAUGGGCCAGCAUCCCUGUGGAACCCUUUCGACACCUUGUAGAGUCCAUGACCCAAUGAAUUGAGGCUGUUUUGAGGGCAAAAGACGGGGCUAUAACUCAAUAUUAGGAGGGUGUCCCUAAUGUUUGGUGUACUCAGUGUAUGUAUAUAAUGGUGUUUUUGAUCAAAUGUUUUAUAUAAUAUUUUUCACAAGUGUACUGACAAGUGACUAAUGAUCCCAGCUGCAUCAGAAACCAAUAAAGUGUUGAC
rnacentral:lncRNA from 13 species